UAGGGAAUCUUCCACAAUGGGCGAAAGCCUGAUGGAGCAACGCCGCGUGUGUGAUGAAGGGUUUUCGGCUCGUAAAACACUGUUGUAAGAGAAGAAUGACAUUGAGAGUAACUGUUCAAUGUGUGACGGUAUCUUACCAGAAAGGAACGGCUAAAUACGUGCCAG
rnacentral:rRNA from 1 species